rnacentral:rRNA from 1 species
GACUCUCGGCAACGGAUAUCUCGGCUCUCGCAUCGAUGAAGAACGUAGCGAAAUGCGAUACUUGGUGUGAAUUGCAGAAUCCCGUGAACCAUCGAGUCUUUGAACGCAAGUUGCGCCCCAAGCCGUUAGGCCGAGGGCACGUCUGCCUGGGUGUCACGC